GAGGAGAUGUGACGUCACAAACAUGGAGUAGUGAGGGAGACACUCCUAUUCGAGGUGCUCUCCAAUUUUACCGCUUUUUAACGCCAAUUAUUCCCCUACAACGAAGUGAUACAUAUCCCCAGCGGUGUAGAAUGUCGUGAUACAACACCUGUGGCCCGGAUAGAGCAGCAAGAUGAGUGGGAGGAACAUAAUCACGCGGGAACUGAGUGAUUCCAUACGUCAGUGUUUGGGCCGAAAAGUGAAGCUGACACUGAAGGUCCUCGUGAAGGUAGAGACCAAGGGUGACAAGACAGAUAAUCGUGUUUUGGCCUUUGCAUCAUGCAGGCUCUUCGUGCUUACUGCCAAGGUCCCCACAAGGGUGAGUGUUCAAUCACAAAUUUUUUAUUAUUGUUAGAAAUGAAGGGGAAGUGUAUGACG